UAUAUGUUUAGCUUAGGAUAUAUUGUGUUUUGGUGACGGCGUUGUACUUGUGCGAAACGUCUCACCAGUUCUGUCUUAAGUGUCCUGAUUCGUGACUGUGAUAUUCUGUGGCCUUCGUUUUUGUGUACUGUUGUGUAUAGACAGCUCAGAGCCUUUGAACAGCCUGCACGUUGUUUAUAUCACUCUAUGUUGAGGUUAAUAUUAAAAACAACCUCUUUACCAAGACCAUCUGGUUAUGUGUUGCUUCCCUUUUACCCCGAAACGAGCUGGGGACGUAACAUAACUAUACUAGCUAGCUAUGGCUUGAUGUUGUUAAAUGUAUGUUACUAACUAGCAAGUUGUUAACUGGAGCUUCAAUUUUGUAGGUCAACCAUUCCCAGAGGUCUGGAGAAACACCAUUUUAAAAACGUGGAUUGUAGCUAAAGAAGAUGGAGAGGUUGUUACAGCACACUGUAACUGUAUGGCUGGUUUGUCAGAAUCCUGCUCACAUGUUGGAGCAGUUCUGUUUGCAAUCGAAGCAGGUGUGAAGAUGAGAGAGACUGCAUCCUGCACCACUGAGAAGUGCAAGUGGCUAAUGCCAUCACAUGUCAAAAAGAUUCCUGCUGCUCCAGUUGCGAUGAUAGACUUUUCAUCCGCAAAAUCCAAAAA